AUUGAACGCUGGCGGCAUGCCUUACACAUGCAAGUCGAACGGCAGCACGGGUGCUUGCACCUGGUGGCGAGUGGCGAACGGGUGAGUAAUACAUCGGAACAUGUCCAGUAGUGGGGGAUAGCCCGGCGAAAGCCGGAUUAAUACCGCAUACGAUCUACGGAUGAAAGCGGGGGACCUUCGGGCCUCGCGCUAUUGGGGUGGCCGAUGGCGGAUUAGCUAGUUGGUGGGGUAAAGGCUCACCAAGGCGACGAUCCGUAGCUGGUCUGAGAGGACGACCAGCCACACUGGGACUGAGACACGGCCCAGACUCCUACGGGAGGCAGCAGUGGGGAAUUUUGGACAAUGGGCGAAAGCCUGAUCCAGCAAUGCCGCGUGUGUGAAGAAGGCCUUCGGGUUGUAAAGCACUUUUGUCCGGAAAGAAAUCCUUUGGGCUAAUACCCUAGGGGGAUGACGGUACCGGAAGAAUAAGCACCGGCUAACUACGUGCCAGCAGCCGCGGUAAUACGUAGGGUGCAAGCGUUAAUCGGAAUUACUGGGCGUAAAGCGUGCGCAGGCGGUGAUGCAAGACCGAUGUGAAAUCCCCGGGCUCAACCUGGGAACUGCAUUGGUGACUGCAUCGCUAGAGUAUGGCAGAGGGGGGUAGAAUUCCACGUGUAGCAGUGAAAUGCGUAGAGAUGUGGAGGAAUACCGAUGGCGAAGGCAGCCCCCUGGGUCAAUACUGAC
rnacentral:rRNA from 1 species